rnacentral:rRNA from 1 species
GUACUAAUAAAGGGUGAAAUCGAUUUUUUAGUGGGUAGAUUGUUUGGGGGUGAGCUAAUUCUGAAGCUGUUAAGGUGAAGGUAUGGACCAGGAUUAGAUACCCUGUUACUCUUUACUUUAAAUGAAAAUACCUGGGUAUUAAACAGUUAUUGUCUUGAAACUCAAAGGAUUUGGCGGUAAUCUAGUCUAUUUAGAGGAACCUGUCCUGUAAUCGAUAAACCACGCAGAAUCUUACCUUAUUUUGUAAAUUCAGUUUGUAUACCGUCAUUAUUAGGUAACUCUAAAAAGAAUCAGUUACUGUAAUAAGUUUUUCUUAGUAUAUUAGAUCAAGGUGCAGCUAAUAGUAAGGUAGAGAUGGGUUACAAUAUGAUAGAUAUAAACGGAUUAAAAAGUUAUAGCUUUUUAUUAAGGUGGAUUUAAUAGUAGGGAAGUUUUAAUAAGGCUUUUCGAUUCUAGCUCUAGGUUAUGUACACAUCGCCCGUCGCUCUCGUUAAUUAAAGC